CUAAGGGAGCUCGUGCUUUCCAAAAAAAGGAACUUUUCCAAACUUUAUUCCAAGAUUAAAACGUCGAUCUCGCCUUCUUCUCAAAUGUUCUAGGAGGAUCUCAGGAUUGAGUUAGCCUAUUUCACUGUGUGUUACCUGUGGGGCUGCCCUUGAAGGCCAUUUGGAAGCUGAGACUCUGGCCAUGAGGUGAAUAGUGGGACUUUCUGACCGGAGAUGCAUUGUGCUGCGCCUGAAAAAUCUGCAUUAUAUUGUCGGACACCCCCCCCACCCCCCCACCCCAGUUGUCUCCCAGCACACAGAAGGAGAUUUUGCAAGUUCCGUGAAUUUCCCUUGCUUCUCUGCAGCGUUUGCAGAUUGCUCNGUUGUGUGAGUCAGCCGUAAAAUAUCUCCCAGCUACCUCUGCUCCAGUCGGGAUUUUCAUGACUGGCUCUGAGAGGGAAAGAUGCAACUGUAGGCGCCGCCAUCGCUUGGAGAUUCUGAGUCACUCUGGCAACGCGGCGAGCAAAGCAGCCAGCCACAGGCUGCGAGUGUGGCUCAAGCAAAGAAGGAAGUCAGGGAGAGGCAUAAAAAAGAGUCGGCAAGGAUCAGCUGCAUUUAUCCAAGGAGCUCUAGGAAAAGAUGUGGUUCUUCCUCGCCCAGUGGAGAAUCAGAUUCACUGGCAGACUCCAGAUUCCUCCCAAAUCUUCACCUAUAAGAGGAAGAAGUGGACUGAAGCUGGAUUAAAACUUCGCAUAGAUAGGCCUUGGGGAAAAAAUGCGUCAACAGUCAAUGAAAAAUGUGAAUUUUGUUCGUGCACAUCCCUAAUUUAAAAGUAGAAGUCUGGGUCAUAAAACUAGACAGAAUGAAAGACUCUUCUUGAGAGCAGAAAUAUUGGGGUGGGAAAAUGCUAUCAGGUCAUGGGGCAUAUUUGUCUCCAUAGUUUAUUCGGGGUCGAAAUUUUAAAAAAUUGCAGCAUUAAGUCUUUUGAAUGGAGAUACUCAGUUGGACCGGGAAGAUACCAAAUUAAUAUUCCUGCCUGGACUUGGUCUGUUACGGGAUUGGACUUUGUUCAGAUCUGAGGUUGUUGCAAUGCAGUUGGCGCAUUAUGGUGUCAUAUUUUCCAACUGGCGUUGUCCUCAACUCAGUAGUUGCCAGUGUGUGCCAAAUUCUGUUUUUCCAUUACUGUUCACAUGACAUCAUUGCCAUCGAAUUGCCAAUCCACAUGCCUCAAUUUAGUGUGGAUUUCACCUAAAAUACACUCACUCACUGUCUCUUUCUCAACCUCUCUCUCUCACACACACACACACACACAUAGAGGGAGGAAGAGAAACAACUGUGUCUUGGCUACAGGAAUCCAUUCAUCCCAUUCUGGAUGGGUCCCCACUUCAAACAUGUAUUUUGAUGGUUGUUUUGGCAAUGUAUCUAGGCUGGAGAUGGACCCAACAAGAAGAACACACUGGGGCCCUCGCACCAUGCAAUGUGAGAUCAGAAAAGUGCAAGCACAGGGGUUAAGGAAAGCAUAAGAACCUUCAACCAUGCAGGGAGAUCUUAUCCACCAACGUAAGACAAGAGUGCGGCAGAAGGAAGUCCUAGCUGGCCAAUCAAGUUGGUGACACGGCUCAGGGGAGGCCAGGCUAUCAACAGACCAAGCAUGAGGUUGAGGAAAAGGCCCCAUCUGUUAAGAUAAGGGAUUGGCACGGUGAAGAGGAGGCCAUACUAUCGAUGUCAGUAAUCUCAAAGAGAGGAUACCACAUCAGUAUGUCAACAGCAUUGCAAAACGGAGACCCAGUCUACAACCUUAAGUACAGGAGCAGUGCAGAGGCCUCACUC
ensembl:lncRNA